AUUGAACGCUGGCGGAAUGCUUUACACAUGCAAGUCGAACGGCAGCACGGACUUCGGUCUGGUGGCGAGUGGCGAACGGGUGAGUAAUACAUCGGAACGUGCCCAGCCGUGGGGGAUAACGUAGCGAAAGCUACGCUAAUACCGCAUACGAUCUACGGAUGAAAGCGGGGGAUAGCAAGACCUCGCGCGAUUGGCGCGGCGGAUGGCAGAUUAGGUAGUUGGUAGGGUAAAGGCCGACCAAGCCGACGAUCCGUAGCUGGUCUGAGAGGAUGAUCAGCCACACUGGGACUGAGACACGGCCCAGACCCCUACGGGAGGCAGCAGUGGGGAAUAUUGGACAAUGGGGGGAACCCUGAUCCAGCCAUGCCGCGUGUGUGAAGAAGGCCUUAUGGUUGUAAAGCACUUUAAGCGAGGAGGAGGCUCCUUUGGUUAAUACCCAAGAUGAGUGGACGUUACUCGCAGAAUAAGCACCGGCUAACUCUGUGCCAGCAGCCGCCGUAA
rnacentral:rRNA from 1 species